UACAAAAUAGCAAAAAGUUACAAUCUUUGGUUUUUGUUCUAUUUUAUUUUGUUUAUUUCGUUUUGUUAUGUCAACAAAAAUGGGGGAAUACGGAUAAUAUGGAUACUAUUAGCUAUUUUCAAUACGUAAUAUAUGUUCAAAUAAGCAUAUAGAUUUUAUUUACAAAUCUAUGUAGAUUUUUAUCCUUAUUCACCCUUUUAUAUUAUUAUGUUUCUCUGUUUCGUAAUUUUGUAUUAUCUAGAAUCUGUAAGAAAAGCUGAAGAGAAGAUGGAAAAAGCCUUAGAUGUUUCAGACUUGUCAUAGUCUGAUAGGGAUAAUUCUAUUAAGCGUCAACGAUUUGUUACUUAAAGGUAUAGUCCCUCUUUCAAGGGGCUCUUGAACCGACACAAAAGUAAUAAUGCUGAUACUGAUGAUUCAGAUGUUGAUUCAGCUACUAAUGUUGAAUUGAAAGCGCCAACUAUAACAAACUUAAAAAUAAGUGGAAAUGAAAACAAUAGACAUCAUCAUUUAUGUCAUAUUACAGUGAUACAGAUGAAGAAAGUAUCGACGAAAUUAAUGCAAAACAGAUGCAAAAUAUUUCACAUAAGUCUCAGGUAUCAGAAAAUAUUAAUGAAAAUGUCAAUGACAAAGUUAAACUUGUUGAUCAAACUUAUGCAAGAGAAAAAGAGAUAAAGAUAGGAAAUGUUCAGAAAAAUGCAAAAACGAACAAUCAGGACAAAUUAAUAAAUGGAAAUAAGAAGGAUAAAUUAAUGAAUGGAAAUAAGAAGGACAAAUCAAUUUCUAAGUCUCACCAGCCAAACUAAGUCUCAUCAGCCAAACUUAGCAGCUUGUCAUACAUCGUUUUCAACAAAUUCCUUCAAUAAAUCACCUCUUAAGAAAAAUGAAAUCAGAGGUAGGACUAUAAUGGCUGCUAUAAAUGAUUUGCGAGCUCGCAUUGAUAUACUUCAUGUAACCAUCAUAAAAAUUUAUACUGCAACAUGUUCUCCUGUAGAGACAUCUGAUAAUUUAAUUGGAAUUCCAACUCUUCCAUUCUUUCAUUUCCUUGAAAGAAUUGGAUGACUGCGAGAAUUUUUUAUCACAAGAAGAAAACAAAUUGAUGAUGGUUGGACUUUUAGCAGAGCAUGGCAAAGAAGAUCUCAAAAGCUCUAUAUAUGAUGCAUAAACUAAUGACAAAUAAAGUUGCUGUAAAUUUUAAUUUUGAAGGGAUUAAUAGAGAAGGAACAACCAUUAAAAAGAAAAAGUUUCAAAAUACUUUAUCUCAUGGUCUUGUUAUUGCUGCUCAUAAAAAACAUAGAAAUGACAGAGACCUUGAGUUCUUUUAUAAUAAAGAAACUGCAGAUUCUUAUAUUGAAAACUGGUUGAAGAAUGCAAAAAAGCGUUUUAAAAAUGAAGAGCUAAAAUCAGAAAAAAAUCAGCAACGAAAUAAAGUUAACAAUGAUGAAGAA